GAUAGUUUAGUUUAAAAGUUAGAACACUUGACUGUUAAUCAGGUAGUGGGGGAAUUGUACCCAGCUUUCG
rnacentral:tRNA from 1 species